rnacentral:lncRNA from 1 species
UAUUAUGUAGGUGGAAGUCCAAAUUACAAGAGCUUAACUGCCAAACAAGGAAGCGCGAGAAGUGCAGCUACGUGUACAAAUGGACGAAGUGUCAACCUUUCUAAAGGUAGCCAUGGGCCUCCUUUUAUAGUGCAAGGGGUUACCACAAUGGCUAAGAUAGUCUUUUUGGAAGGGUGAAUAAUGGCUUCUAUAGUUGCCAAAAUUGCUGAGAGGACCUAUAGUAGUGAAUACUGACCUUGACGGAUUAGUACAGGUGCAUUAAAUACAUCGUUAGGUGUCCCGCUGGCGGCGUCUCCCAGGAAGAUCGUCUCUCCUUUCGUGUCAUUCGUCCAGCUACCUCUUAUUCUCUUGACACGUCACAGGAGGGGUGGCAUUAAAGUUGUUAUACGUCCCUAACUAUUGUCACAGGCCUCUAACCACACCCAUCUAACUGCCUCCCCGCUCGACACCUCACUUUUAACGCCCAAGAUGCGAUAUUAUCCUUAUUUUUGGCACGAGGGCCUCGACAGGGAUAGAAGCGCUUCUCGUCGUUUUUCAAGAAUGGAUAUUGUUACAAGUACAUGUAUAGAAGAGAUUGAUAUAUGGAAUUGGCUUACACUUGCCACAAGCUACAUCAAGAUCACAUGAAUACAACAACAUAUUCAAGCACCAAGUAGAACAGAAGCGUCUGACUAUGGACGAAAACAAAUGAUAAAAGAACAAUGUCUAUCCUCGAUAUCCCAGGCUGCCGGCCUGGAACCCAUCCUAGAUCGAUGAAGAAGAAGAAGAAGAAGAAACUCCAAAUAGAACACUCAUCGCGCUCACAUCAAAUUAUCACAUUACAUGUACCUGCAACUAUUGUUGUAGUAAUAUUUGAGCCACAACGACUCAGCUAUCUCAUUUACAAAGGUAUGAAGACUAGCAAAGCUUAAUGGGUAAGGUAUGGUUAAGUGAUGAGGCUGCAGCAAGCGUCUAAGCAUUUUAUUAAGGUGGCUAACUUACGAGUACAAGAAAUAAGAGGGGGAUGGUCUACGCAUAACGGACGAGAACUAAUAAUGAUCAUGAAGUGAUCCUGAACGCCUACUUACGUAAAACACAACCCCACCGUGUCCUCUUCCGGAUGCAGAACUCACAAGAAGACACAGUCACAAUUAUGCACACAGUUGGCAUAUUUUAAUUAAGUUUACUUCAAGUUAUCUAGAACCGGAUGUUAAACAAAGUUUCCAAGUUGCCACAUAACCGCGAGCACCGCUUUCCGAAAGAUUUAACCCUGCAGGGGUGCUCCAACUAGUCCAUCACAAACUACCACACACUACAUCGGAAACCUCGACUAGGGAAACCCGUGAUCUCCUCGGAAUCAUGGUGAAAAACCUCAACCUCGAGAUAGCCCAAAGUAUCAUCGGCAUCCCUCACACAAGAUGUUCGAGAAGGGUAAAACAAAUCCAGCAAGGCCGCCUGACGUGCCGACGAUCCCGAUAGGAGCCGCAUAUCUCGUUCUCAGGGCAUAACCGGAUGAGCGCAACAUCAGUGGCCAGACAGAAAUCUCCUGAGUUGCCCCGGGUUGGCCCCGCACACGACUCUAGUUUGGACCAACAUUCAUGAGGAGCACUGUCCCGGGGCUUGAUUAAUUAUCCACUGGGUGAUCAAACCCUAUGCGAAUUUUAUUAGUUGUUAUUAAGAAAAUUGUACCAAUGUUGGGCCUUGCCACACGAGUUUUAUCCCAAAACAAAAAACCAAGGGUAUCCCCAUAACAACCCCAAGCAUGUUAGGAGCGCUCAGUAUGCAACUUAACACCGGUAGCCGAAACUAAGGCGGCAAAGAUGGAACAAAACACCAGGCUAGAAGUCCAGGUCUUCCACCUUUUACCAAGUAUAUGGGUGCAUUAAAUAAAAUAGCAAUAAUAUGGUGAUAUAACAAGGAACCCAUGUGGUCACAUGGAAGCAACUGCAUGUGCAACUACCAACGCUAUAAGAAGGCUGGGCAAGCAGUAACAUAGCCAAACGGUGGUUUGCUGGGUUGUUGACAGGUUAGAGGUUUUCAUGACAAUGUUGGGAGGCUUAUUAAACAGGUGGUAGGCACUGAGACAUAGUGAAAGAAACGAGACAACUAGCAUGACAAUGAUAGUAUUGGUAUCUAGGCAAAUUGACAUCUUGCAUGUGAUCCUGCUUGGAAGAAGAACGAAUCCGUGAAGCACACGAACCAACGUUAUCGAACGGAUCCUCACACUCUGAUGUGUUUCGGAACUCUAUCGAGAAUAAACAAUCUGGAACAACAGUCAACACACAAUAAACACCACAAUAUAUGCAUGACAUGAUGCAUAAACACGUAUAAUGCAUGUUCGGUUUAGUUAUGCAAGGCAUGGAAAAUCGCAAAGAUUUAUUACUACAUAUUAAAUGAAGCUCAAUUUACAAUGAGUUGCAUAUUGACCAAAUUCCAUAUUUGGAUUACUCAGUUCACUCCCAUUAGGUACACGACAAUAUUAAAUAUUGUAAAACAUGGCAAGAGGUGAAACAUAAUUAAACUACACUAGCCAGGCAUUUUAAAUGAGGUCGGAAACAACUUAUAGCAUCUCCGAAAUGACCCAUAUAUUAAUUUCGACAUCUGUCCAGAUCUGUACUAAACACAUUUUAUAUUAAUUAAACAGCAAAACAAAGUGGAGCAUGUGAUUCUACAUGUCAUUCUAGUUGAUUUACAUAUAUAGAUCAUUUGAAACCAAGCUACGGUCUAAAAGAUAUGAGCAACACAAGAUGACAUGCCAUGAAUGCAAAUGCAUGCAAAUGGCAGCCACAACAUUUUAAACACAUGCAUGCACAAUAUAUUAUGAAGCUACAUGAAAUUCUAGACAAGUUUAAAUAAGGCUGGAACAACGAAUAACAAUUCCGAAAAGUCCCCAUAUGUAAUUUUGAAUUUGCUACAGAUCAAACUAAACAAAAUUUUAGAGUUAUUAAACAGGAAAUAAAUGCUACCAUGUGAUUCUACACAUUUUUCUAGCCAAGUGACAUAUAUAAAACAUUUUAAUUGGAGCUACGGUUAAUUAGUUAUGGAAUAAAACAUUUUAACAAGGCAUUUGUGCAAAUUAAAUGAAAACAACAAGUUAAUUAUUUUUAACAUGGAAUCAAGUUGGUUAUUGUGAAACUCCAUAAAAUUCUAAGUACUUUAUAUGUUAAAAUCAUUUUAAUCCGAUGCACGGUUUCUAACAUAUGAAUUAAAUCAUUUUUCUAAAUAUGGCAUAACAAAAAAUUAAUUCAACAACACAUUUAAUUAUUUUUAACAUGCACGACAGUUAGAAAUUAUUAGUCUACAUGAAAUUCCACACAUUUUACAUAUCUAAUUUAUUUUCAUCCGAUGCAUCGUUAAAAAGUUAUUAGCAUUUUAAAAUAUGCACAUUUUCCGUAAUUUAUUAAAUGCCCUAGAAAUUAGCUAAAAUCGCACACGCAAAAAAAUAACGAAUCUGCGAUCUGGUCCAAUAGUGGCAUGGCGCAAGAUAGGUAUCAUGCGCACCGGGCGGGGGAUAGGAUAUCGGUGCUCACCUCGGGCACGUGGGCCACCUUAGAGAGGAGGCCGAGCUGGGCCUUAACGGCGUUGGGAGGCCGACUAGCCCAGCGGGGUGAGCUCGUUCAUGUGGGGGUGCUUGGCCAACGCGGGCGACAGGGCAGAUCGAGCGGGCGGCGGCUCCCGAUCUCGAACCGAGCGGCGACGGCGGUGGGCCUCCCCGGUGGUGGCCGCCGCCGGCUGCUGGGAGGCGAUGCGGCGGGGCAACGAAUCCGGCGGCGGAGGGUCAGGGGCGACCGGAUCCGGCGGGGGCUGCAGGGCAUCUGGCGAGCCAAGGGCGCAGCAGCGAGCUCCAGCUGUGGGAGGUCACUCCUUGGCGUUCAUGGUGGCGACGGGGAGCUCGUGGGGCUGCACGAGGUGGAACCGAUGGUGCGGCGACGUCACGGACGACCUCCUGGCUCCGGAGGUGGCGGCUGCAGGCCGACACGAGGAGGCGGCAGGGUCGCGCAUGGGCGCCAUGGGGCUGCGGUUUUGGGGUGAAUCUGGGGUCACCCGGACAUGUCCGGUUGGUGGCGGACGUGUCCUGUUGGUGGGUUUUUGGGUGAUUUAGGGCCAUUGGAUGGGGAUCCAAUGGUCUAGAUUUAGAUGUGGGGUAGGAUUUCGGGGGUGAGAGGAGUUGGAGCUAGCAGGUGGAGUUUUUGAGGGGGGUGGCUGCAAUUUUGGCAAGGGGAAACCCUAGCGAAGUGAGAGAGCUCUUCCCACAAGGUGGAUUUAUAUAGGGAAUGGUCUAUGGUGGGGUGGACCUCGUCCGUCCAACCGCGAUCUGAUGACCCCGAACGGAGGUAUGGGCUACGUGGGUCUACUAGGUUGUGUAGAUGGCCUACAUGAGGAUGAGAGGGGAUGUUGUGGCCCGUGAUAGAGUUUUAAAACAUGAAAACAUCUGGGAAAACAUCCGAGAAUGCAACCUAAUCCUUGUCGCGAGGC